rnacentral:rRNA from 1 species
CCUANGGGAGGCAGCAGUGGGGAAUAUUGCGCAAUGGGCGAAAGCCUGACGCAGCGACGCCGCGUGUGGGAUGAAGGUCUUCGGAUCGUAAACCACUGUCGGGAGGGACGAAGUUCUGACGGUACCUCCAAAGGAAGCACCGGCUAACUCUGUGCCAGCAGCCGCGGUAAUACAGAGGGUGCAAGCGUUGUCCGGAAUUACUGGGCGUAAAGGGCGCGUAGGCGGCCCGAUAAGUAGGAGGUGAAAUUCUGCGGCUCAACCGCAGGACUGCCUUCUAAACUGUCAGGCUUGAGCACGGUAGAGGCUGGCGGAAUUCCCGGUGUAGCGGUGGAAUGCGUAGAGAUCGGGAAGAACAUCCGUGGCGAAGGCGGCCAGCUGGGCCGUUGCUGACGCUGAGGCGCGACAGCGUGGGGAGCAAACAGGAUUAGAUACCCGGNUANUC